GAUGAAGAACGUAGUGAAAUGCGAUAAUUAAUGUGAAUUGCAGAAUUCCGUGAAUCAUCGAGUCUUUGAACGCACAUUGCGCCUCAUGGCAUUCCGUGAGGCAUGCCCAUCUCAGCGUUAGAAAAUAUUCUCAAAUUUUAGUUUUGUGCUAAAAUUUGGAUCAUGUCAAGGAAGCUAUUACUAUUAUUGUGAUCGCUCUUUGGAAAUCGAUAGGUCUUUGAGUUGCUACUCAUAGAACGUGAUGAAUCUUUCUUCGUUCUAUUGUAAUUCACUCUGGUAGUCCUAAAACUUGUAUGCCUGUGGCAUAUCUUGUAAUUUGACCUGAGAUUGGGUAGGGAUACCCGCUGAACUUAAGCAUAUCAAUAAGCGGAGGA
rnacentral:misc_RNA from 1 species